rnacentral:tRNA from 1 species
CAUAUAUAUAUGUGUUUUAUUUAUCUGCAUAACAACUCAUCAAAGAACAAAAAUUGGAUUUACCUAGUGAAUA